rnacentral:rRNA from 1 species
AACAAACGCUGGCGGCGUGCCUAACACAUGCAAGUCGAACGCGAAAAUCGGCUUCGGCCGAUGAGUAAAGUGGCGCACGGGUGAGUAACGCGUGGAUAAUCUACCCUUCAGUUGGGAAUAACUUAUCGAAAGGUGAGCUAAUACCGAAUAAAACUGCCUGACCACGGUCGGGUAGUCAAAGAUAGCCUCUGCUUGCAAGCUUUCGCUGAAUGAUGAGUCCGCGUACCAUUAGCUAGUUGGUGGGGUAAUGGCCUACCAAGGCGACGAUGGUUAGCUGGUCUGAGAGGAUGAUCAGCCACACUGGAACUGAGACACGGUCCAGACUCCUACGGGAGGCAGCAGUGAGGAAUCUUGCGCAAUGGGGAAACCCUGACGCAGCAACGCCGCGUGAGUGAGGAAGGUCUUCGGGAUCGUAAAGCUCUGUCGGGUGGAAAGAAUGUAUGGGGUUAAUAGCCUUCAUACUUGACGGUACCACCAAAGGAAGCACCGGCUAAACUCCGUG